rnacentral:rRNA from 1 species
ACCAGACUCCUACGGGAGGCAGCAGUGAGGAAUAUUGGUCAAUGGACGAGAGUCUGAACCAGCCAAGUAGCGUGAAGGAUGACUGCCCUAUGGGUUGUAAACUUCUUUUAUAUGGGAAUAAAAUGUUCCACGUGUGGGAUUUUGUAUGUACCAUAUGAAUAAGGAUCGGCUAACUCCGUGCCAGCAGCCGCGGUAAUACGGAGGAUCCGAGCGCUAUCCGGAUUUAUUGGGUUUAAAGGGUGCGUAGGCGGAAUAUCAAGUCAGCGGUAAAAAUUCGGGGCUCAACCCCGUCGUGCCGUUGAAACUGGCGGCCUCGAGUGGGCGAGAAGUAUGCGGAAUGCGUGGUGUAGCGGUGAAAUGCAUAGAUAUCACGCAGAACUCCGAUUGCGAAGGCAGCAUACCGGCGCCCGACCGACGCUGAGGCACGAAAGCGUGGGUAUCGAACAGGAUUAGAUACCCUGGUA